CCUACGGGGGGCAGCAGUGAGGAAUAUUGGUCAAUGGACGAGAGUCUGAACCAGCCAAGUAGCGUGAAGGAUGACUGCCCUAUGGGUUGUAAACUUCUUUUAUAUGGGAAUAAAAUGUUCCACGUGUGGGAUUUUGUAUGUACCAUAUGAAUAAGGAUCGGCUAACUCCGUGCCAGCAGCCGCGGUAAUACGGAGGAGCCGAGCGUUAUCCGGAUUUAUUGGGUUUAAAGGGAGCGUAGGUGGAUUGUUAAGUCAGUUGUGAAAGUUUGCGGCUCAACCGUAAAAUUGCAGUUGAAACUGGCAGUCGUGAGUACAGUAGAGGUGGGCGGAAUUCGUGGUGUAGCGGUGAAAUGCUUAGAUAUCACGAAGAACUCCGAUUGCGAAGGCAGCUCACUGGACUGCAACUGACACUGAGGCUCGAAAGUGUGGGUAUCAAACAGGAUUAGAUACCCCAGUAGUC
rnacentral:rRNA from 1 species